UACGGAGGAUGCGAGCGUUGUCCGGAAUUACUGGGCGUAAAGAGCUCGUAGGUGGUUUGUCGCGUCGUCCGUGAAAUCCCAUGGCUUAACUGUGGGCGUGCGGGCGAUACGGGCAGACUUGAGUACUGCAGGGGAGACUGGAAUUCCUGGUGUAGCGGUGGAAUGCGCAGAUAUCAGGAGGAACACCGGUGGCGAAGGCGGGUCUCUGGGCAGUAACUGACGCUGAGGAGCGAAAGCGUGGAGAGCGAACAGGAUUAGA
rnacentral:rRNA from 1 species